GGAGAGGUGGCCGAGCUGGCUGAAGGCGCUCGCCUGCUAAGUGAGUAUACCUCUAUAAAGGGUAUCGAGGGUUCGAAUCCCUCCCUCUCCG
rnacentral:tRNA from 1 species